rnacentral:rRNA from 1 species
UGGGGAAUUUUGGACAAUGGGCGCAAGCCUGAUCCAGCCAUGCCGCGUGAGUGAAGAAGGCCUUCGGGUUGUAAAGCUCUUUCGGCGGGGACGAAACGGUCCGUGCCAACACCACGGACCUAAUGACGGUACUCGCAGAAGAAGCACCGGCUAACUACGUGCCAGCAGCCGCGGUAAUACGUAGGGUGCGGGCGUUAAUCGGAAUUACUGGGCGUAAAGCGUGCGCAGGCGGCUCCUUAAGUCAGAUGUGAAAUCCCCGGGCUUAACCUGGGAACUGCGUUUGAAACUGAGGGGCUUGAGUGUGGAAGAGGGGGGUGGAAUUCCAGGUGUAGCAGUGAAAUGCGUAGAGAUCUGGAGGAACACCGAUGGCGAAGGCAGCCCCCUGGGCUAACACUGACGCUCAUGCACGAAAGCGUGGGGAGCAAACAGGAUUAGAUACCCUGGUAGUCCACGCCCUAAACGAUGUCAACUGGUUGUCGGGGAAGCAAUUCCUUGGUAAC